rnacentral:rRNA from 1 species
UUAGCUGGCGGCGGCUACCAUGCAGUCGAGCGGUGGACGGUAGCUUGCUACCGCACCUAACGACGGACGGAUGAGUGAUGCUUGUCAGUCUGCCUGUUAGAGGGGGACAACUUCUCACAGGGGAUGCUAAUACCGCACACAUCCUACCGCAGAAAGCAAGGGAUCUUCCGACCUUGCUCUAGUAAAUGAACCUGCCUCGGAUUAACUAGUUGGUGGGGUAAAGACCUACCCAGGUAACCAUCUGUACCGGGUCUGACAGGAUGAACCACCACACUGGGACUGACUGACAGCCCAUACUCCUACCUGAGGCAGCAAUGGGGAAUAUUGAUUGAUGAAUGGAACCCUGAUCCAUGCAUGCAUGGUGUGUGAAUAAGGCCUUAUGGUUGUAUGGCACUUUAUUUGAGGAGGAAGCUACUCUAGUUAAUACCUAACCUUGUCGAUUGUUACUCGCGAAUAAGAACCGGCUAACUCUGUGCCAGCAGCCGCGGUAAUACACAGGGUGCGAGCGUUAAUCGCAUUUACUGGGCGUAAAGCGUGCAUACGCGGCUUAUUAAGUCGCAUGUGAAAUCCCCCAGCUUUCUUGUGAAUUGCAUUCUAUACUGUGGAGCUAUAGUAUGGUAGAGAAUGGUAGAAAUCUCCGUGUGUCGCUGAGAUGCGUAUAGAUCUGUAGGAGUACAGAUGUGGAGAGCGCCCCUCUGUGCUAAUACAGACACUGACGUACGAAAGCGUGUGGAGAGCACACGAUAAUAUACACUGUGUAGACUCUGCCGUAUACGAUGUCUACUAUUGCGAUGUGUGCUCUGAGAGGUUUAGUGUUCGCAGCUAACGCGAUAAAUAUCACCGCCUGGGGGAGAAUACGUCGCGAGAGUAAAACUCAAAUGUAAUUUGACGGGGGCCCCACACAGCCGUGGAAACAUGUGUGUUUAAUUUCCAUGCCACGCGGAAAAACCCUAACCUGCUCUGAACUACUACAAACCUUUCCAGAAAAUGGAUUUGGUGCCUUCAGAGAUCUAGUGAUACAAGUGCUGCAAUGGCUGUCGUCACUCGUGUCUGGAAUGUUGGGUUAAGUCCCGCAACGAGCGCAACCUAUCUUACGUGCAGCAGUUCCGAUCGACCUCAUGAUACUGCAUGGACUAACUGAGAAGCGUGAUACGUCAGUCAUCUGUCCUUACGCAGCUACCAGGUGUCUACAUGUCGUUACAAGGAUGGCUACCUA